rnacentral:rRNA from 1 species
AUGCCAAAGGUGACUCCUCCAACAGAAAUCCUUGCUGCACUAAAGAAGGUACCAGAUUUGGAGGAUAGUGAUAUGCUGAGAGCUUAUGGAAAAUUGAUCGUCAAUGAGCGUUUGUUUGAAGCACUCAUGGCGCUACCCGAGGACUUAAGGAAGCCAUGGCUCUUGACCUUUGAUUGUUUGUUACUAUCCUGUUUAGUUGAUGGAUGGACUACUAUGUACUUUGUUGUUUGCGAACUGUCUAUUUGUGCUAUGUGUAAGAGACAUAAAACUAUCCACUUUUGCUAUGUGUAA